CCCCUAGUAACUGCGAGUGAAGCGGGAAAAGCUCAAAUUUAAAAUCUGGCGCAAGCCCGAGUUGUAAUCUGGAGAAGCAUUUUCUGUGUCGGACCGUGUACAAGUCUCUUGGAACAGAGCGUCAUAGAGGGUGAGAAUCCCGUCCAUGACACGGACUACCGAUGCUUUGUGAUAUGCUCUCGAAGAGUCGAGUUGUUUGGGAAUGCAGCUCAAAAUGGGUGGUAAAUUCCAUCUAAAGCUAAAUAUUGGCGAGAGACCGAUAGCGAACAAGUACCGUGAGGGAAAGAUGAAAAGCACUUUGGAAAGAGAGUUAAACAGUACGUGAAAUUGUUGAAAGGGAAACGCUUGAAGUCAGUCGCGUUGUCUGGAACUCAGCCUUGCUUGCAUGGUGUACUUUCCAGUUAACGGGUCAACAUCAAUUUUGGUUGGUGGAUAAAGGUAGAGGGAAUGUGGCAUCUUCGGAUGUGUUAUAGCCCUUUGCUGCAUACACUGACUGGGAUUGAGGUCUGCAGCACGCCGUCAUGGCCGGGGGUUCGCCCUACGUAACGUGCUUAGGAUGUUGGCAUAAUGGCUUUAAUCGACCCGUCUUGAAACACGGACCAAGGAGUCUAACAUGCCUGCGAGUGUUAGGGUGGAAAACCCUUGCGCAUAAUGAAAGUGAAAGUUGGGACCCUUUACCGGGGCACCGACGCCCGGCCCUGAAGUUUACUGACGGUGCUGCGGUAGAGCAUGUAUGUUGGGACCCGAAAGAUGGUGAACUAUGCCUGAAUAGGGUGAAGCCAGGGGAAACUCUGGUGGAGGCUCGUAGCGAUUCUGACGUGCAAAUCGAUCGUCAAAUUUGGG
rnacentral:rRNA from 1 species